CCGCCGCUGCAAUAAAAAUCCUUCUCCUAAUUAUUAUUAUUUUUUUUUUUACGUAGCUCCUUUUAGAAAAUGUACAGCGCGUAACGUCAAUUGCGCAGCACGCGGCACAUCGUCACGUAACCAACAUCAAAGAAGAAAAAUACACAGCGAGUUGAUAAGGCUCACACUGAUUGGUAUUCAAUUAGCUUUAUUUUUUAUUUUUCAUGUGUGUGAGUCUGUGUUCUUUUCAAAUUUUAGUUAGGUUUAUAAUUUAAAAAGAUGUGUUUUGCCCAUUGUUGCAGGAGAUUU